rnacentral:rRNA from 1 species
CCUACGGGAGGCAGCAGUGAGGGAUAUUGGGCAAUGGGGGAAACCCUGACCCAGCGACGCCGCGUGAGGGAAGACGGUCUUCGGAUUGUAAACCUCUGUCUUUGGGGACGAAAAAGGACGGUACCCAAGGAGGAAGCUCCGGCUAACUACGUGCCAGCAGCCGCGGUAAUACGUAGGGAGCGAGCGUUGUCCGGAAUUACUGGGUGUAAAGGGAGCGUAGGCGGGAUUGCAAGUUGGAUGUGAAAACUGCGGGCUCAACCCGGAGAGUGCAUUCAAAACUGCGAUUCUUGAGUGAAGUAGAGGCAAGCGGAAUUCCUAGUGUAGCGGUGAAAUGCGUAGAUAUUAGGAGGAACACCAGUGGCGAAGGCGGCUUGCUGGGCUUUUACUGACGCUGAGGCUCGAAAGUGUGGGGAGCAAACAGGAUUAGAUACCCGAGU